CCAGGCCCUACGGGGCGCAGCAGGCGCGAAAACUGUGCAAUGCGCGAAAGCGCGACACGGGGAGCUUGAGUGUCUUGGCAUAGCCAAGACUUUUCUCAUUCCUAAAAAGCAUGAGGAAUAAGUGCUGGGUAAGACGGGUGCCAGCCGCCGCGGUAACACCCGCAGCACAAGUGGUGGUCACUUUUAUUGAGCCUAAAGCGUUCGUAGCCUGUUUUGUAAAUCUCCAGGUAAAGACUGAAGCUUAACUCCAGAAAGCCUGAAGAGACUGCAAGACUUGAGAUCGGGUGAGGUUGAACGUACUUUCAGGGUAGGGGUAAAAUCCUGUAAUCCUGGAAGGACGACCAGCGGCGAAAGCUUUCAACUAGAACGAAUCUGACGGUGAGGAACGAAGGCUAGGGUAGCAAACCGGAUUAGAUACCCGGGUAGUCCUAGCUGUAAACACUGCCCACUUGAUGUUGCUUUCCCGUUAAGGGAAGGCAGUGUCGGAGCGAAGGUAUUAAGUGGGCCGCUUGGGAAGUAUGGUCGCAAGACUGAAACUUAAAGGAAUUGGCGGGGGAGCACCGCAACGUGAGGAAUGUGCGGUUUAAUUGGAUUCAACGCCGGAAAACUCACCGGGAACGACCUGUGAAUGAGAGUCAACCUGACGAAUUUACUCGAUAGCAGGAGAGGUGGUGCAUGGCCGUCGUCAGCUCGUACCGUAGGGCGUUCACUUAAGUGUGAUAACGAGCGAGACCCACAUCUCUAAUUGCAAACAUAUAUGAGAAUAUAUGAGCACUUUAGAGAGACCGCCAGCGCUAAGCUGGAGGAAGGAGCGGUCGACGGCAGGUCAGUACGCCCCGAAUUUCCCGGGCUACACGCGCAUUACAAAGAACGGGACAAUACGUUGCAACCUCGAAAGGGGAAGCUAACCGCUAAACCCGUCCAUAGUUAGGAUUGAGGGCUGUAACUCGCCCUCAUGAAUCUGGAUUACGUAGUAAUCGCGGGUCAACAACCCGCGGUGAACAUGCCCCUGCUCCUUGCACACACCGCCCGU
rnacentral:rRNA from 1 species